AACGAACGCUGGCAGCAGGCUUAACACAUGCAAGUCGAACGGAUCCUUCGGGAUUAGUGGCAGACGGGUGAGUAACGCGUGGGAACGUACCCUUUGCUACGGAAUAACUCAGGGAAACUUGAGCUAAUACCGUAUGUGCCCUACGGGGGAAAGAUUUAUCGGCAAAGGAUCGGCCCGCGUUGGAUUAGCUAGUUGGUGGGGUAAUGGCCUACCAAGGCGACGAUCCAUAGCUGGUCUGAGAGGAUGAUCAGCCACACUGGGACUGAGACACGGCCCAGACUCCUACGGGAGGCAGCAGUGGGGAAUAUUGGACAAUGGGCGCAAGCCUGAUCCAGCCAUGCCGCGUGAGUGAUGAAGGUCUUAGGAUUGUAAAGCUCUUUCACCGGUGAAGAUAAUGACGGUAGCCGGAGAAGAAGCCCCGGCUAACUUCGUG
rnacentral:rRNA from 1 species